AUGUUUACCGGAGCACGGCGGAGCAGCGCCGGAUCAUCUGGAGACCAGGAGGGGAUGGGAGAUAAGCUUGACGCUUUAUCAGAGGAGCUUCGACGGCGGCCAGAAGUACGGAUCCUCAACAAAUAUGCGGUCAGCAUGGCGUACAUCCGAAUUGGCGUGAAAAACAUGGGGGCUCUGGCGCUCUUGUGGGCCACCGUGGUCCUCCUCGGCGGCUUCGUCUCCGAUCUGAGGAGGAUAGAUUUUUGGUAUCUCACCAUCAUCGCAUUCAUCCAAGCUGCCGGGCUAUCUGACGCCCUGGGAGAUGAUCGGUUGAUGUUCUUUGGGCAUUGGGUUGAUUCACUUAUGAGAAAUAUUAUAUCUUGGGGGGAAAAGCAUCAUGAUAAACGCAAGUUGCCUAUGAGGCAAUGGCUGAAGAGACAAAUAAAUAUACUCCGGUUAAAAAUAAUAGACAUCACUCUGUCUAUGCUAUUUUUCCCAGUGGAGUGCUUCGCUGCUUAUGGGCCAAUUAUCUGCUUUGUGCUAUCGCUGCUUCGUCUGCGAAAGCAAGACUAUGGCAUCGCCGACGGAGAAGCAAAUAUGGAGCCAGGGCUGACUUUAUUCUACUGCUUAUCUCUUGCUCAGAGCGCAUUCUCCUUUCUGAGUAUGAUUAUUGGAGCUGUUGCUGAGGAGAAGUUGGUGGAGUAUGUUAGCCAACAAUAUGGUUUCAGCCCUAAAGUACUUGGUGGAUACUUGGACAAAACCAAGCAGAUUUGUCUAAACAACGCCGCGUCCACAGUGAGCUGGAAUUUGAUCGCAUAUGGUGCUGACUUGCUUGAUUCCCAAUUACCGGAGGACUAUGUGUCUGGAGGAAGGGUACUAACUAUGCUGAUUGAUCAAGAUACACCGUUAGCGAUAACCUGGCUGCUGAAUUUGUCACCGAUACACAGAAUUCAGAAGCUGAUCGGGACCCUUGCUUGGGGAAGCCCAGCUGAGCAAGAGAUGAGAUGUCAUGCAGCGAGGAUUGUGGAGCAUCUAGCUGGUCACCUCAACCUUGCUCACUUUCCAGGAGCAUUGGAAUGCAUAUCCUCCCUCUUUGACACUUCCUAUCAUAACAAUGCUGAUCAAGAAGCCCUCCAUUCGCCUUUUCUAACUGAGCGUAGCAAGCAGAGGAAAAGGAGAGGUUUCCUGAACGAAAAUUUUGCUGGUAACCCGUGGGAAGAUAAAGAUGGUAACAAGAAGGAUGACGGGGGUAAAGAUGGUAGCUUCACCAUGUUCACAAACAUUAUCACUGCCAAAAAUCCGCGCGAAAGACACGAUGCUGCCGCGCAAUACAACAAGGAGAGGUCUGCCGCACAGAAAUUCAACAAGGAGAGGGAGAAUUAUAAAGGAACUGAUAAGGAUCUGGUUUUGCUAGGCUUGAGAAUUCUAGAGAAGCUGGCUCACAACAGACACAACUGCACACUGAUAUACAACACCAAGGAUAUUCUUUCAAAAAUAGUCGCACCUGUCAGUUCCAACAAAUUAGAAGAAGACAUCAAGAGCAACGCUACAUGGACCAAGGUAAUAGGCGGGUCACUGAAGGUGGUGAGCCAGCUCAUGGGUUCUUCAGGAAGCACCAGCGUAAAGAUGCGCAGACUGAUUGCGAACAAUAGUAAUGCAGUAACAAACUUGGAGGCCGUACUAGAUAUGGAUAUGAAGAGCAACAGUGUUAUCAAGCUACAGAUACAAGCUAUAGAUGUUCUUACACAACUAGCCUUGCAUCAUCCAGCAAAUAAUUCUGCUACAAAGAUAAGGGACAAAAUUAUUGAGAGGGCGCUGCACAUCUUCCUUACUACAGGUUGGAUAGAAGAUUAUUUGAAAGAUGAGAAAAUGAAGCUGGAUAAUACUUUACCAACAUCGUCAAUAUUAACAUAUAUGAUCAGUGUAGAAAAGCGGGCUGCAGAAGCACAUGUUGAAAAGAGGAUGAAAGAAGCUAAGGAAACUGCAAGCCGGCUUAAAGAAAAGGCAGGUGAAGCAUUGGCCAUGCUGUCCAGUGAUUCAGAGGCUGUCAAGAGCUUCACAGGAUGCAAAAAUAAUGAAGUUGUUCGUCUUACUGAAUUGCUCAACUCCAAAACAAGUGCAACAGAUACUACUAUACCAAUAGAGAUUACGAUUGGCUGUCGUAUUAGCGCAGCAGUCAUCUUGAAGCAUUUGAGCAACUACGACAAGAAACCAACCUUACGGAUGGUACUCACGGAAUUGCUUCCUAUGCAAGCAGAAUUGAGUAGUACAACCAUGCCCAGCUGUUGGGAGCGUGCCAUCCCUUGCAUUAAAGCAAGCAGAAACAAGAUAGGAAACCCAGGUAACACUGUGAAAGACAAGCCUUCCAAUUCUCAGAGCCACCACAUCCAGCAAUAUGAGGAGAGGAGGCUGCAGGCAGAGCUGCUAUCAUUCGUCGCAACAAUUCGUGCAAACAACAAUCUUGAUUUUGCAACAAUAUUAAUGUCACUGACGCCGCCGGCUACCAAGGAGGACUUUGUGGUGAGGCUCAAGAACAUGGUGGAGGACAGCAUGUAUGCCACCCCUGCGUGCUUGGCAAUACAGAAGCUUACCUGCAAGAUGGUUAUAGAAUUCAUCCAGCAGCAUGAUGAAAACGUCGAAGUGAUCGGCAGGCAUGAUAUCGUUGGCGCAUUAUUGGAGGCUUCAGAGAUGAUGGUCGUGCUUGAAAGCAGCAUGCUUUUUGCUGGUGUUGAUCGUGACUGCCACGGGGUUCCUCUGAAACCUCUCUCUUCUGUCCUCGCUAAGAACGCAGAAGAUCUUUUGGCACAGAAGAAACAGGCUCUGGGCGUCAACAUUGCGCCUGCCACUGCCAGUGCACCAUGA
rnacentral:rRNA from 1 species